rnacentral:rRNA from 1 species
GAUGAACGCUAGCUACAGGCUUAACACAUGCAAGUCGAGGGGCAGCACAGUGUAGCAAUACAUGGGUGGCGACCGGCGCACGGGUGCGUAACGCGUAUCCAACCUUCCCGUUACUCAGGGAUAGCCUUCCGAAAGGGAGAUUAAUACCUGAUGGUAUUCAAAUUUCGCAUGUUAUUUGAAUUAAAGAUUUAUCGGUAACGGAUGGGGAUGCGUGACAUUAGGUAGAUGGCGGGGUAACGGCCCACCAUGCCUACGAUGUCUAGGGGUUCUGAGAGGAAGGUCCCCCACACUGGAACUGAGACACGGUCCAGACUCCUACGGGAGGCAGCAGUGAGGGAAUAUUGGUCAAUGGUCGGAAGACUGAACCAGCCAAGUAGCGUGAAGGAAGACUGCCCUAUGGGUUGUAAACUUCUUUUGUUCGGGAAUAAAGUGCAGUAUGUAUACUGUUUUGUAUGUACCGUUCGAAUAAGCAUCGGCUAAUUCCGUGCCAGCAGCCG